AUUGAACGCUGGCGGCAGGCCUAACACAUGCAAGUCGAGCGGAUGAAGGGAGCUUGCUCCUGGAUUCAGCGGCGGACGGGUGAGUAAUGCCUAGGAAUCUGCCUGGUAGUGGGGGAUAACGUCCGGAAACGGGCGCUAAUACCGCAUACGUCCUGAGGGAGAAAGUGGGGGAUCUUCGGACCUCACGCUAUCAGAUGAGCCUAGGUCGGAUUAGCUAGUUGGUGGGGUAAAGGCCUACCAAGGCGACGAUCCGUAACUGGUCUGAGAGGAUGAUCAGUCACACUGGAACUGAGACACGGUCCAGACUCCUACGGGAGGCAGCAGUGGGGAAUAUUGGACAAUGGGCGAAAGCAUGAUCCAGCCAUGCCGCGUGUGUGAAGAAGGUCUUCGGAUUGUAAAGCACUUUAAGUUGGGAGGAAGGGCAGUAAGUUAAUACCUUGCUGUUUUGACGUUACCAACAGGAUAAGCACCGGCUAACUUCGUG
rnacentral:rRNA from 1 species